CACCAAAACACAGGAGCCUUGUCCCUUGAUGUAAGAAAGUAGCGAUGACCUCCCCCGCGGGUUCCCGAAGCUCUUUGCGAAUGGCACCCAAUGAAUCUCAAGCUUUCAGGAUGUACCCACCUUUUCCUGACCUUUGGCGGUUUAAAUCCUCCAUUUUCUCCUCAUUUGUCACAGGAAGUCCAUCAUUGAAAGUGCUUGCUUUAGCCACAUUUGCCUGAAUCCUGCAGCUAGCUCUUAAGGUUAAUGACUUUGGGAUAUUCUACAGAAGAGCGGCUUUCCGAGGCAAUGACACAGACUUUGCAUGGCUGAGGUGGCUCCUACAGGACGGAGCUGAGCUGGCUGAGCAUAUGGUGAGAGGAAGCUGCCUACGGAUCCCCCUCUUCUUCAAACUGAGGGGG